rnacentral:rRNA from 1 species
CCUACGGGAGGCAGCAGUGAGGAAUAUUGGUCAAUGGGCGCUAGCCUGACGGAGCAACGCCGCGUGAUCGAAUGAAGGCCUUCGGGUUGUAAACAUCUGUUGACAGGGACUAAUAAGCAAUACGAAUAGCUUUGUGUAUGACGUUACCUGUUUAGAAUGCUCCGGCUACCUACGUGCCAGCAGCCGCGGUCAUACGUAGGGAGCGAGCGUUGUCAGGAUUUACUGGGCGUAAAGGGCGCGUAGGUGGGCGCUUAAGUCAGGUGUGAAAACUCCGGGCUCAACCUGGAGACUGCAAUUGAAACUGGGUGUCUUGAGGGCAGGAGAGGAAAGGGGAAUUCGUAGUGUAGCGGUGAAAUGCGUAGAUAUUAGGAGGAACACCAGUGGCGAAGGCGACUUUCUGGACUGUACCUGACGCUGAGGCGCGAAAGCGUGGGUAGCGAACGGGAUUAGAUACCCCAGUAGUC